AUUGAACGCUGGCGGCAGGCCUAACACAUGCAAGUCGAGCGAGCGGCGGACGGGUGAGUAAUGUAUGGGGACUGCCCGAUAGAGGGGGAUAACUACUGGAAACGGUGGCUAAUACCGCAUACUAUCGGAUAACCCAUAUGGGAUUAGCUAGUAGGUGGGGUAAAGGCUCACCUAGGCGACGAUCUCUAGCUGGUCUGAGAGGAUGCUCAGCCACAUGGUGACUGAGACACGGCCCAGACUCCUACGGAGGCAGGAGGGGGGAAUAUGGCACAAUGGGGGCAGCCCUGAGGCAGCCAGGCCGAGUGUAUGAAGAAGGCCUUGGGGUUGUAAAGUUUUUUCGGUAGCGAGGCGUGAACGACAGAAGAAGCACCGGCUAACUCAUUGCCAGCAGCCGCGGUAAUC
rnacentral:rRNA from 1 species